GACGAACGCUGGCGGCGUGCCUAAUACAUGCAAGUCGAGCGGACCGAACAGGAGCUUGCUCUUGUUCGGUUAGCGGCGGACGGGUGAGUAACACGUGGGUAACCUGCCCGUAAGACCGGGAUAACUCCGGGAAACCGGAGCUAAUACCGGAUAACACCGAAGACCGCAUGGUCGUUUGUUGAAAGGCGGCUGCGGCUGCCACUUACGGAUGGUCCCGCGGCGCAUGAGGGAGUUGGUGUGGUAACGGCUCACCAAGGCGACGAAGCGUAGCAGGACUGCGGGGGCGACUGGCCAGCCUGGGAGGGAGACACGGCACAGAGUGCUACGGGAAGGAGCCAGAGGGCAUCGUCAGGCAUGGGCGGAAGACAGAGGGCGAGGCGCCGAGGCAGCAAGGAGGGUCGUCGGAUCGGAAAGGUCGGCUGUCAGGGAAGAAGAAGCGUCCUCCGGACACGGCGCCGCGGUGACGGUACCUAACGAGAAAGCCCCGGCUAACUACGUG
rnacentral:rRNA from 1 species